GGUUCCAUAGUAAAAUUUAUAAUAUUAGAUUGCAAAUCUAAAGAUGUGUUUAAUCACUGGAACUU
rnacentral:tRNA from 1 species